CAGCAGCCGCGGGAAUACGGAGGGUGCAAGCGUUAAUCGGAAUUACUGGGCGUAAAGUGCACGCAGGCGGUUUGUUAAGUCAGAUGUGAAAUCCCCGAGCUUAACCUGGGAACUGCAUUUGAAACUGGCAAGCUAGAGUCUUGUAGAGGGGGGUAGAAUUCCAGGUGUAGCGGUGAAAUGCGUAGAGAUCUGGAGGAAUACCGGUGGCGAAGGCGGCCCCCUGGACAAAGACUGACGCUCAGGUGCGAAAGCGUGGGGAGCAAACAGGAUUAGAUACCCCAGUAGUCCCUGUCUCUUAUAU
rnacentral:rRNA from 1 species